rnacentral:rRNA from 1 species
AUUGAACGCUGGCGGAAUGCUUUACACAUGCAAGUCGAACGGCAGCACGGACUUCGGUCUGGUGGCGAGUGGCGAACGGGUGAGUAAUGUAUCGGAACGUGCCCAGUCGUGGGGGAUAACGUAGUGAAAAUUACGCUAAUACCGCAUACGAUCUAUGGAUGAAAGCGGGGGAUCGCAAGACCUCGCGCGAUUGGAGCGGCCGAUAUCAGAUUAGGUAGUUGGUGGGGGACAGGCCCACCAAGCCAACGAUCUGUAGCUGGCCUGAGAGGACGACCAGCCACACUGGAACUGAGACAAGGGCAAGACUCCUACGGGGUGCAGCAGUGGGGAAUUUUGGACAAUGAGCGAAAGAAUGAGCCAGCCAUGCCGCGGGCAGGAUGCAGGCCCUCGGGUUGUCAACUGCUUUUGUAAAGAACGAAAAGGUUUCUACUAAUACUAGGAGCUCAUGACGGUACGGUAAGAAUAAGCACCGGCUAACUACUUUCCAGCAGCCGCGGUAA